rnacentral:rRNA from 1 species
AAUAGAUACCCUGGUAGUCCACGCCGUAAACGGUGGGCACUAGGUGUGGGCGACAUUCCACGUCGUCCGUGCCGCAGCUAACGCAUUAAGUGCCCCGCCUGGGGAGUACGGCCGCAAGGCUAAAACUCAAAGGAAUUGACGGGGGCCCGCACAAGCGGCGGAGCAUGUGGCUUAAUUCGACGCAACGCGAAGAACCUUACCAAGGCUUGACAUACACCGGAAACGUCCAGAGAUGGGCGCCCCCUUGUGGUCGGUGUACAGGUGGUGCAUGGCUGUCGCCAGCUCGUGUCGUGAGAUGUUGGGUUAAGUCCCGCAACGAGCGCAACCCUUGUCCCGUGUUGCCAGCGGGCCCUUGUGGUGCUGGGGACUCACGGGGAGACCGCCGGGGUCAACUCGGAGGAAGGUGGGGACGACGUCAAGGUCAUCAUGCCCCUUAUGUCUUGGGCUGCACACGUGCUACAAUGGCCGGUACAAUGAGCUGCGAUACCGCGAGGUGGAGCGAAUCUCAAAAAGCCGGUNUCAGUUCGGAUUGGGGUCUGCUAACCG